AUUGAACGCUGGCGGCAGGCCUAACACAUGCAAGUCGAGCGAGCGGCGGACGGGUGAGUAAUGUAUGGGGACUGCCCGAUAGAGGGGGAUAACUACUGGAAACGGUGGCUAAUACCGCAUACUAUCGGAUAACCCAUAUGGGAUUAGCUAGUAGGUGGGGUAAAGGCUCACUUAGGCGACGAUCUCUAGCUGGUCUGAGAGGAUGUUCAGCCACACGUGGUGUGAGACAGUGCCCAUAUUCCUACAGAGGCAGCAGUGGGGAAUAUUGCACAAUGGGCGCAAGCCUUAUACAGCCAUGCCGCGUGUAUGAAGAAGGCCUUCGGGUUGUAAAGUACUUUCAGUCGGGAGGCGUUACCGACAGAAGAAGCACCGGCUAACUCCGUGCUAGCAGCCGCGGUAAUAC
rnacentral:rRNA from 1 species